rnacentral:rRNA from 1 species
AUCGAACGCUGGCGGCAGGCCUAACACAUGCAAGUCGAGCGAGCGGCGGACGGGCGAGCAAUGGAUGGGGACUGCCCGAUAGAGGGGGAUGACUACUGGAAAAGGUGGCAAAUGCCGCAUAAUAACGGAUAACCCAUAUGGGAUUAGCUAGCAGGUGGGGUAAAGGCUCACCUAGGCGACGAUCCCUAGCUGGUCUGCGAGGAUGAUCGGCCACACUGGGACUUAGAACCGGCCCAGACUCCUACGGAGGCAGCAGUGGGGAAUCUUGCACAAUGGGCGCAAGCCUGAUGCAGCCAUGCCGCGUGUAUGAAGAAGGCCUUGGGGUUGUAAAGUACUUUCAGCGGGGAGGCGUUACCCGCAGAAGAAGCACCGGCUAACUCCGUGCCAGCAGCCGCGGUAAUUC